UUAAGUCAAAUUUGUAUGGAACGUUUGCCUAUGUUUUCCGCUAAGGGCACUGUCCCAGCUGCAUACAAAUUUCAGGUA
rnacentral:pre_miRNA from 1 species